rnacentral:tRNA from 1 species
CAUCCUAUAGUAUAACUGGAUAGAAUACAGGUCUACGGAACCUGGGAUCUAAGUUCGAGUCUUAGUAGGAUGA